UCCCUAGUAGCUCAGCUGGUAAAGAAUCUGCCUGUGAUGCAGGAGACCCAGGUUUGAUUCCUGGGCUGGGAA
rnacentral:tRNA from 1 species